CUCUUUUUUCUAAAAAGAUGUUGAAACUUUUAGUAGCAUUAUCUAAAAUUAAUUAAAAAAUAAAUAAAUUAAUUGUAUAUUUUUUGUAAUAUUAAAUAACAUGGCUAAAUAAUAUUACCGUGCGAACCAAACACAGGAAUUCCACAUUCUUAGUAAUAGGAUGAAUAGGAAUAAGAUUCUCGGACAUCUUUUCAUUCCUAGUAAUCUUUCAUAAUGCGAACCAAACGCACCCUUAACUCUUUUGUAAACAAGCGUCUAAACUUUCUAUUUUGGCAAUUAAUCCUCUUAAACUUUAUCAAAUAGCUCAAUAGACAUCUUUCUUUAAUUAACGUUAUUCAUUACACGACAUAUAGUUUUAUAGAACUUCAAAAUAUUAA
rnacentral:lncRNA from 1 species